UAAACUAGGAUUAGAUACCCUAUUAUUUAAAAUGUUAAUAUAUAUAGUACUAGGCCAGUAUUAGUUAUUUUCUUGAAAAUUAUAUAAUUUGGCGGUAUUUCAGUCUAUUCAGAGGAACCUGUCCCGUAAUUGAUAAUCCACGAUUUAUAGCACUUUCUUUAUUAGUUUAUAUAUCGUUGUAGCUUGAGUAUUUUUUAAGAAUUCAAAUUCUCAUGAUUUUUUAUUAGAGGGUAAUUCAAAUCAAGGUGUAGCUUAUAAGGGAGUGGAGAUGGGUUACAUUAAAUUUAUUUUAGGAUAAUUUUUAGUAUAAUAAUUUGAAUUUGGAUUUGAAUGUAAUUUUUACUAGAUAGUAAAGUUGAUUUUAGCUCUGAAAUAUGCACACAUCGCCCGUCGCUCUUAA
rnacentral:rRNA from 1 species